AGGGGGCGGGAAACACUGUCGCUCUCUGGAAAGAAGCUGAGGGUGGUCAGGAAGGCCUCUUGGAAGAGGAGUCACUUGAACAAAGAUGUCAAUGAAGUGAGGAGGCCAACCAUGAGGAAAUCUACGGAAGAAUAUUCCAGGCAGGCAAAAGGUUCCAGAAGAAUAAUUCAUGAAACAAAUCAGGAAUGCUGAAGAGAGUGACAGAGAUCCUUCCAGCAAAUCUUGUGGUCUUUGAUGUGAGCACUGCCGAGAAAAUACCUUCCACUGAGCAAGUAUGGGAGAGAAACUUGAAGAAGUUCUACUCCUGGGUGUGUACUCCUAAGAGAAAAUCCUGUUCAUGUGCCCAUGAAGACGUGUUGAAGAAGGUCUACGGGAGAACUCUUCAUAACAACAAAAAAAUGGAAAUGACUGAAUUGCCCACUGAGAAGAGAACGUAUAAAAUUUAAUUCACAGGCCCUCAACCACUGAAUUUAAGGGGGUAGAGGGAAAGUUUUUCCUCCAUG